rnacentral:tRNA from 1 species
GCCAGGGUAGCUCAGUGGUAGAGCACCAUCUUCAUAAGGUGGCCGUCGUGGGUCCGAUCCCCACUCCUGGCA